AGUUUGAUCAUGGCUCAGAACGAACGCUGGCGGCGUGCCUAACACAUGCAAGUCGUACGAGAAAUCACGCUCUUUGAGUGUGAGAGUAAAGUGGCGCACGGGUGAGUAACGCGUGGGUAACCUGCCCCUGAAUCUGGGAUAAUCCGCCGAAAGGCGGCCUAAUACCGGAUAAAAUCUUUUGUUGUUAGGGCAAGAGAUCAAAGCCAGUCUCUCUUAAAGAAGCUGGUGUUCAGGGAUGGGCCCGCGUCCUAUCAGCUAGUUGGUGAGGUAAGGGCUCACCAAGGCGAUGACGGGUAGCUGGUCUGAGAGGAUGGUCAGCCACACUGGAACUGGGGCACGGUCCAGACUCCUACGGGAGGCAGCAGUGAGGAAUAUUGCGCAAUGGGGGAAACCCUGACGCAGCGACGCCGCGUGGGUGAGGAAGGCCUUCGGGUUGUAAAGCCCUGUCAGGUGGGAAGAAUCUCUUGGUGUUGAACAGGCAUCAAGACUGACGGUAUCUCC
rnacentral:rRNA from 1 species